rnacentral:misc_RNA from 1 species
GAUGAAGAACGUAGCGAAAUGCGAUACGUAGUGUGAAUUGCAGAAUUCCGUGAACCAUCGAAUCUUUGAACGCAAAUUGCGCCCAAGGCCUCGGCCGAGGGCAUGUCUGCCUCAGCGUCGGCUUUACCCCUCGCACCCUUUUUCCCUUUGUUGGGUCAACUGGUGCGGAUCUGGCCCUCCCGGCUCCCAUUAUUAUUAAUGGCCCGGGUCGGCUGAAGGUGAGAGGCUUGAACAUGGACCCCGUUUGUAGGGCAAUGGCUUGGUAGGUAGGUUAGCCCCUACACGGCCUGCCGUUGCCCGAGGGGACUUUGUUGGAGGCCUAGCAGGAAUUCGGAUGUCGAUUACUCGAUCGCUCUGAACUACUUAAAUUUCGACCUGAGCUCAGGCAAGACUACCCGCUGAACUUAAGCAUAUCAAUAAGCGGAGGA